rnacentral:rRNA from 1 species
UACGAGUGCCCCAAGCGUUAUCCGGAAUCAUUGGGCGUAAAGGGUGUGUAGGUGGCGUGAUUAGUCUUCUGUUAAAAUCUUGGGCUUAACCCAAGACUUGCAGAGGAAACGGUCAUGCUCGAGGGUGCGAGGGGUGAAUGGAACUCAUGGAGUAGGGGUGAAAUCCGUUGAUAUCAUGGGGAACACCAAAAGCGAAGGCAGCUCGCUGGGACGGUACUGACGCUAAGGCGCGAAAGCGUGGGGAGCGAACAGGAUUAGAAACCCUAG